GUAACUGUUACCGGAUUGACGGUAUCUAACCAGAAAGCCACGGCUAACUACGUGCCAGCAGCCGCGGUAAUACGUAGGUGGCAAGCGUUGUCCGGAUUUAUUGGGCGUAAAGGGAGCGCAGGCGGUUACUUAAGUCUGAUGUGAAAGCCCACGGCUCAACCGGGGAGGGUCAUUGGAAACUGGGUCACUUGAGUGCAGAAGAGGAAAGUGGAAUUCCAUGUGUAGCGGUGAAAUGCGUAGAUAUAUGGAGGAACACCAGUGGCGAAGGCGGCUUUCUGGUCUGAAACUGACGCUGAGGCUCGAAAGCGUGGGGAGCAAACAGGAUUAGAUACCCUGGUAGUCCACGCCGUAAACGAUGAGUGCUAAGUGUUGGAGGGUUUCCACCCUUCA
rnacentral:rRNA from 1 species